CAGCCGCCGCGGUAAUACAGAGGAUGCAAGCGUUAUCCGGAAUUAUUGGGCGUAAAGCGCGCGCAGGUGGUUUAAUAAGUCUGAUGUGAAAGCCCACGGCUCAACCGUGGAGGGUCAUUGGAAACUGUUAAACUUGAGUGCAGGAGAGAAAAGUGGAAUUCCUAGUGUAGCGGUGAAAUGCGUAGAGAUUAGGAAGAACACCAGUGGCGAAGGCGGCUUUCUGGACUGUAACUGACGCUGAGGCUCGAAAGCCAGGGGAGCGAACGGGAUUAGAUACCCCGGUAGUCCCUGUCUCUUAUAA
rnacentral:rRNA from 1 species